rnacentral:misc_RNA from 1 species
UAAUUCUAACUAAAUGUUUUAUUCAUUAAACGACAAAAUACAAAUGUCUUAAGUUCUAGGUCUUGGUUCUCCGGACACCGCACACUACUUUUUACACAUUGUACAAGGGGGCUUUUGGAUGGCAACGUGGUUAAACCAUGGAUCGUGUUGAGGAACGCCAGCUGGCCCACAACAGGUGGAUCAUGGACUGCAGGCUGGAACAUGUAAGCGCAGUAAACAGCCCAUUUUCACUUCGCACUCGCUACUUAGGAUCUACCUGGCCCAAUUACCUGCCUGCUGGCGACCUGGCGCGCCUAUAGUGGGUGUCAAACUAUGGCCAAUGACAUACAGAGGCGCCUGCAUUCGAGGCAUUCAACAAGGAAUUACAAUAACAAUAAACAGAAGUGCCCCGAAUAUACGGAUAUCGAGCGGGGCAAGUGCCAUAAAGAGUGCCACAAAGAGGGAAAUUCAAUGAACAAAUAUAACAAUCAGCCUUGUUCUUAAUUUUGAAAUUAAUUGCA